rnacentral:rRNA from 1 species
UAAGUUGGUAGUGAAAUCGUGCGGCUCAACCGUAUAAACAUUAUCAAAACUGAUAGACUAGAGCGCGAGAGAGGUUAUUGGAAUUUCUAGUGUAGGAGUGAAAUCCGUAGAUAUUAGAAGGAACACCGAUGGCGUAGGCAGAUAACUGGCUCGUUGCUGACGCUCAGACACGAAAGCGUGGGUAGCAAACGGGAUUAGAUACCCCGGUAGUCCACGCCCUAAACGAUGGAUGCUA